rnacentral:rRNA from 1 species
AGAGUUUGAUCCUGGCUCAGGACGAACGCUGGCGGCGUGCUUAACACAUGCAAGUCGAGCGAUGAAGCUUCCUUCGGGAAGUGGAUUAGCGGCGGACGGGUGAGUAACACGUGGGUAACCUGCCUCAAAGUGGGGGAUAGCCUUCCGAAAGGAAGAUUAAUACCGCAUAAUAUAAGAGAAUCGCAUGAUUUUUUUAUCAAAGAUUUAUUGCUUUGAGAUGGACCCGCGGCGCAUUAGCUAGUUGGUAAGGUAACGGCUUACCAAGGCAACGAUGCGUAGCCGACCUGAGAGGGUGAUCGGCCACAUUGGAACUGAGACACGGUCCAGACUCCUACGGGAGGCAGCAGUGGGGAAUAUUGCGCAAUGGGGGAAACCCUGACGCAGCAACGCCGCGUGGGUGAUGAAGGUCUUCGGAUUGUAAAGCCCUGUUUUCUAGGACGAUAAUGACGGUACUAGAGGAGGAAGCCACGGCUAACUACGUGCCAGCAGCCGCGGUAAUACGUAGGUGGCGAGCGUUGUCCGGAUUUACUGGGCGUAAAGGGUGCGUAGGCGGAUGUUUAAGUGGGAUGUGAAAUCCCCGGGCUUAACCUGGGGGCUGCAUUCCAAACUGGAUAUCUAGAGUGCAGGAGAGGAAAGCGGAAUUCCUAGUGUAGCGGUGAAAUGCGUAGAGAUUAGGAAGAACACCAGUGGCGAAGGCGGCUUUCUGGACUGUAACUGACGCUGAGGCACGAAAGCGUGGGUAGCAAACAGGAUUAGAUACCCUGGUAGUCCACGCCGUAAACGAUGGAUACUAGGUGUAGGGGGUAUCAACUCCCCCUGUGCCGCAGUUAACACAAUAAGUAUCCCGCCUGGGGAGUACGGUCGCAAGAUUAAAACUCAAAGGAAUUGACGGGGGCCCGCACAAGCAGCGGAGCAUGUGGUUUAAUUCGAAGCAACGCGAAGAACCUUACCUGGACUUGACAUCCCUUGCAUAGCCUAGAGAUAGGUGAAGCCCUUCGGGGCAAGGAGACAGGUGGUGCAUGGUUGUCGUCAGCUCGUGUCGUGAGAUGUUAGGUUAAGUCCUGCAACGAGCGCAACCCUUGUUAUUAGUUGCUACCAUUAAGUUGAGCACUCUAAUGAGACUGCCUGGGUAACCAGGAGGAAGGUGGGGAUGACGUCAAAUCAUCAUGCCCCUUAUGUCCAGGGCUAC